CCACGCUGUUCUUACAGUGGUAGGUGAGGUUUUGAGAAGCCUCGGUUGAAAGCAAUCUCAGGAAGGUCAUCUGAAUGGCAGCAGUGUUGGGCGCCAGGCUGUCAUCACCGUAGCUGAACUGCAGGAGGUCACAGACUCUCCUGCCUCACCCUUGUCACCGCGAGGCCCUUGUGGUCCCUGGGGAGUGGACAACAUCCUAAUUCACCUUUGAUUGUCAGUGGGACCAACUGGGCCAGGAGCACCAGGACCACCUGGAGCACCAGGAGCACCAGCUGGACCGGUGUUACCACGAUCACCCUGCAGCACACAGAGCACAAACGCUCUCCUGCAGGUCCAGUGAGUCCAGGAGGUCCAACAGGUCCAGGGGGUCCACGGUCUCCUGCCCCACCAGAAGCUCCCUGUUUACCAGGCUCACCCUGAAAGACAG